GACGAACGCUGGCGGCGUGCUUAACACAUGCAAGUCGAACGGAAAUGCCCUGCUUUUGUGGGGUGCUCGAGUGGCGAACGGGUGAGUAACACGUGAGUAACCUGCCCUUCACUUUGGGAUAACUUCAUGAAACUGGUGCUAAUACCGGAUAGGAGCUCCUGCUGCAUGGUGGGGGUUGGAAAGUUUCGGCGGUUGGGUAUGGACUCGCGGCUUAUCAGCUUGUUGGUGGGGUAGUGGCUUACCAAGGCUUUGACGGGUAGCCGGCCUGAGAGGGUGACCGGACAAAUUGGGACUGAGAUAAGGCCCAGACUCCUACGGGAGGCAGGAGUGGGGAAUAUUGCACAAUGGGAGGAAGCAUGAUGCAGCAACGCCGCGUGCGGGAUGACGGCCUUCGGGUUGUAAACCGCUUUCGCCUGUGACGAAGCGUGAGUGACGGUAAUGGGUAAAGAAGCACCGGCUAACUACGUG
rnacentral:rRNA from 1 species